rnacentral:rRNA from 1 species
GAUGAACGCUCGUGGGAGGCCUAACACAUGCAAGCCUAGCGGUAGAGCUCCUUCGGGAACUUUAGAGCGGCGUACGGGUGAGUAACACGUGUGCAACCUACCUUUCUCUGGGUGAUAUCCUUUCGCACUGAAGAUUAUUAUCCCAUAAUAUAAUGAUUGGCAUCUAUUAUUAUUGACAACUCCGGUGGCUAGAGUUUGGCACGCGCAAGAUUAGAUAUUUGGUGAGGUAACGGCUCACCAAGUCAAUGAGCUUUAGGGGUCCUGAGAGGGAGAGACCCCAAACAGGGACUGAGACACGGACCAGAGUCCUACGGGAGGCAGCAGUGAGGAAGAUUGGACAAAGGGUAAAAGCCAGAUCCAGCCAUCCCGCGUGAAGGAUGACCGUCUUAUGGAUAGUGAACUUCUUUUGUACAAGGAUAAACCUACUCUCGUGAGGGUAGCUGAAGGUACUGUACGAAUAAGCACCGGCUAACUCCGUG